rnacentral:lncRNA from 1 species
GCCCUAUGCUAUUUUUAUUUUCCUAUUAAUUUUAAUAUUUUCUUUUCAAAAUAGAGAUCUCCAGAAAUUCAUAAAAAAUUAUAGAAAAUUCAUAAAAAUACCAACUAAUUUUGUUGAGUUUCUUAUGACUAGAUCUAUGCAUUUAACUUAAAUAUCAUAUGAUUUAGUGUAUUUUAUUUGAUAGAUAUAACAGUGAUUAAUUUUUUUGCUCAUAUCGCAUAUGAACUGAAAAUAUCUCCCCAGAAUUAACUCUAAAUAAAUUCAUACCCUUUUUCACAAUCUUCGCUUUCUAAUUCUCCUCACCUUAACUCUAAAUCAAUUCAUACAUUUUUUCAUAAUCUUUAUUUCCUAAUCCUCUAGUUUUAUACUAACUCGUAAUACAAAAUAAUCCAAAACAAAUAAUCGCUGACAUACAUAUACGAAGCCAAAUACUUCACCAUAUAUAUGACAGUCCGUACGCUCGCAUAUAUGAGUACAUCAUCUCAUGCAUGUAAACAAACAAAAUCAAUACACUUAAAAUGUACGCCAUAGAAAGAAAAAAAUAAAAACAUAUAGACACACGUACGACGCAUAGCUAACCACUUGCCAUAAAGCGGCAACGCCGCACACAUUUCUAGUUGAUUAUUAUUAAGGAAACUGGAUGGUUUGCCCAACGGAUCGAGAUCCUCUAACAUACUGGUUUCUAUGUAAGAGGGACAUACUUAUAUUUGAUCACGUUCAUUGGUCAUCCAACGGUGCAGCCAAAUAAACAUGGAAGCCACUCUUGCCUUGGCCCAUAUACUCA